AUCUGGCAACCCUACCGCUAAGGCCCAACAAGCUCCACACACGUCAGCAUCUCGUGCCGCACUGAUUCUCGUCCAGUGGACAAGGAAAACUCGCCGAAACACCUCACCCGAAAAAGCUGCCGACCCAGGCUGAAUUCGAGGAGUGCAAACGCGUGGAUGUGGUAGACUGUGCAAGGCUUGUGCAAGGCUUCCAAGACCGCAAGGAAUCCACGAAGUAUGCCAACCAGCUACUCAAGGCAGGCCUCAUCCGGCACACCGUCAACAAACUUUCCUUCUCCGAGCAGUGCUACUAUGUGUUCAGCGACCUCUCCCUCGACAUGUGCUCACUGCUGCUGCAAGAAGAUGAGGAAGGUGGAGCAGGUGGCAUGGUGCCCCCCUGGGGUUGCCUUGGUCCCCUGCUUGCAGCAGGGUACGUGUGCGGUAGCACGGCUGCGGAGAAACAGCUGGCCUCCUACGUCAACUAUGCCCGUGAACGGAGAACCCAUUCAGGAUCCAGUGAGCGCUUUGCCUCUGAACUCUGCCUGUAACUGAGGCCAUCUUCAGCCAGUGUUUCCCUGAAGUUUACUCACAAGCCCAGCGUAGUUAUACAAAUGUUGACGAGUUGUUUUUAAUAAACAAAACUUACAGCUUCA
rnacentral:lncRNA from 1 species